rnacentral:rRNA from 1 species
UACAGAGGGGGCAAGCGUUGUUCGGAAUUACUGGGCGUAAAGGGCGCGUAGGCGGCCGCCUAAGUCAGACGUGAAAUCCCUCGGCUCAACCGGGGAACUGCGUCUGAUACUGGGUGGCUUGAAUCCGGGAGAGGGAUGCGGAAUUCCUGGUGUAGCGGUGAAAUGCGCAGAUAUCAGGAAGAACACCCGUGGCGAAGGCGGUUCUCUGGGACGGUACUGACGCUGAGACGCGAAAGCGUGGGGAGCGAACAGG